GCAUGUAUUACAUUUUAUAAUUAAUAAAGUAAUUUAUAUUCAUACAAUAAUAUAAGAAUGCUUUCUAACUAUAUUAAAAUACUAAAAUACGCUUACGGCUUAUCUCGGAAAUAUCCUUAAAAGCCGGUUUUCCACUUCGCCGGAUCAUACCGAAACGUAUUGGUGAACAUGCGCAGAUCAGUGAAAUGAGGUUUAUAAAUCCACGUACAUCCGGGUAUAUUCGCGUAUCAAAAUGAAAAGUUCGUCUCAAGUCAACUUUUUGGCGUACUACGGAAGUACUAACCAAUCAACAUUCACGAAAUUUAAAACUUUUUGAUACGUUUCGGUACGGUACGCUUGAAGUGGAAAACAGGCUUUACACUAAACUACUGAUAUAUUAUUGAUUUCGUGCGUACUUAAGAAACCUUUCUUAUAAUGACGUCAAACGCGGAAAAACACUUAAUGCAAUAUAAAAAAAAGGUUAGGGUAGGGUCAAUGGUCAAAAGGUUAGGUUAGGGUCAAUGCAAAUUAUGUUUUGUAUGAAAUUUAUUGGCUCGCCAACGAUUUGCAUUGACCUGUGGGACAAUGCAUAAAUUCAUUUUCCAUGUUAGACGUCAUUAUAAGAAAGGUUUAUUCAAUCAUGCAUUAGAGAUUUUCAGUGGCAACAGCUCAUGCUAUAUGUAAAUUUUUAAUGCCGAUUUGCAUUAUUCAAACCUUUACAAAUGUACUAUUUUCAACUAUUUAGAUGCAAGGUUUAAUAAUUUCUUAUUAAUUAACCGAGCCCGAGGUCUUUACAGAGAAAUAUCGGAUCGAGGUCUUUUUUGUACAGACCGAGUCCGUAGGGCGAGUUUUGUACAAAAAGACCGAGUUCCGAUAUUUCUUUUGACAUUCUUUGCAAAGACCGAGCAAGUGAGGUUAAUAAAAAG